UACGUAGGUGGCAAGCGUUGUUCGGAAUUACUGGGCGUAAAGGGUUCGUAGGUGGCCAACUAAAGUCAGACGUGAAAUCCCUCAGCUUAACUGGGGAACUGCGUCUGAUACUGGUUGGCUUGAGUGCAGGAGAGGAACGCGGAAUUCCAGGUGUAGCGGUGAAAUGCGUAGAUAUCUGGAGGAACACCGGUGGCGAAGGCGGCGUUCUGGACUGCAACUGACACUGAGGAACGAAAGCCAGGGGAGCAAACGGG
rnacentral:rRNA from 1 species